AGAGUUUGAUCCUGGCUCAGAUUGAACGCUGGCGGCAUGCCUUACACAUGCAAGUCGAACGGCAGCACGGGAGCAAUCCUGGUGGCGAGUGGCGAACGGGUGAGUAAUAUAUCGGAACGUGCCCAGUAGUGGGGGAUAGCCCGGCGAAAGCCGGAUUAAUACCGCAUACGACCUGUGGGUGAAAGCGGGGGGAUCGCAAGACCUCGCGCUACUUGGAGCGGCCGAUAUCAGAUUAGCUUGUUGGUGGGGUAAAAGCCCACCAAGGCGACGAUCUGUAGCUGGUCUGAGAGGACGACCAGCCACACUGGGACUGAGACACGGCCCAGACUCUUACGGGAGGCAGCAGUGGGGAAUCUUGGACAAUGGGCGAAAGCCUGAUCCAGCCAUGCCGCGUGAAUGAUGAAGGCCCUAGGGUUGUAAAAUUCUUUCGACGGGGAAGAUAAUGACGGUACCCGUAGAAGAAGCUCCGGCUAACUUCGUG
rnacentral:rRNA from 1 species